GGUUGUAUAGUGUAGUGGUUAUCACCUUGGAUUCUGACUCUUUCCAGUAACCCCGGUUCGAGUCCGGGUAUGACCU
rnacentral:tRNA from 1 species